CAGAUGGAGCUGCGGGGACCGGGCUUCAGCAGCGCUGGCAGCUCCCUGUCCUUUAGGAACCCUUGAUCUGCAUGGGUCGGGAAGCUCUGGCCAGCCUGCAGUGCUCACUUGCUUCUUGCUGGCUAACAGUCACUUAUUUUUGUUUUGUAUCUGACGGCCACCUGCUCAGAAGAUAUGAAUUCCUUCUGGGCCUGGUUCAGUCCACAGGUGCCUCAGGCAUAGAACUGCCUAGUGAGAAGAGAGUCUCCACAGCCUCGGGGCAGAAGAUUUGGGAGGACUAGAGGCAGAGGUGCUGAUCUCACUGCUCCUAGAUCUGCAGAGCUGAUGCUGGAUUUGGGGAAGGCUCGCAUCAUCUUCCUUCCAGGUGGUCCAGUCCCUAGAGCCCGGAAAGCAAAGGACCAUCUCUGCAGGCAAAGCAGGAGCAGCGCCUGCCAGUAUCUUCUAAAGGAAGUCGGAAUGUGCGGGUGCUGGGUCCGCAGUCACUGCUAAAUGAAGACGGAAUAUGUGGGUGCCGGGCACAGCGGUGGGCCUGUGGUCACUGCUAAAUGAAGACGGAAUGUGUGUGCUGGGCACAGCGCUAGGCCCGUCGUCACUGCUAAAUGAAGACGGAAUAUGCCGGUGCUGGGCAAGGUGCUGGACCUGCGGUCACUGUUAAAUGAAGAUGGAAUAUGCCGGUGCUGGGCACGGUGCUGGACCUGCAGUCACUGUUAAAUGAAGAUGUAAUGUGCAGGUGCUGGGCACAGCAUGGAGCCCAUAGUCACUAUUAAAUGAAGACAGAAUGUGGGUGCUGGGCAUGGCGCUGGGCCCAUGGUCACUACUAAAUGAAGAUGGAAUAUGUGGGUGCUGGGCACGGUGCUGGGCCUGCAGUCACUGUAAAUGAAGAUGGAAUGUGCAGGUGCUAGGCCUGCUGUCACUGUGAAGUGGUGGGGCAGGGCUGUUUCUACCUCACUGCUGCCCUGUCCACACUAGGUUUGCUCUGGCCUUCCUGUUGCCUGGGGCCUGCCCUCUCUUGCUGUUGCGGAACAGGCAGGAUAAUCUCUCUCCAGGGCAAGGAAUGCACUCAGGCCAGGGACUCCUCACCACCAGCUUCAGGGGCUAUGCCCAACCCCACCUCCUUCAGGAGGGUGUCCCAAGUUCUGUCCUUGCCUAAGCAACUGGCACCUGUGCUCAAAAUAUUUAUUGCCCCCAUGCCAGCUGCUCUCCCACUUGUCCUGUCAAAGGGAGAGUGGGGCCUGGGGGAGUCUUGCUGCAUCCCAGUCCAAGCCCAUCAGAUGUGGGGGACUUUUGCCCUCUGACCCUGCUCCUCAUGAGGCACAGCUUGCACAAAGUGACAGCCCUGGUGCUACCUGAGCCCAUGGGACUCAGCUCUUCAUCCUCUCAGGGCCUCUUUUGGUCUAGGUGCCCAGGGCACUGAGUGAGACCUGGAGUGACAGGAACACAUGACUCAUGGAGCAGAGGUGGAACAGCCACUCGGGGUGACUGUGUGCCCUCCCUGGGGGCCAUUCCCUCUCUCUUGUCCUAGGAGCUUGGGGUGCCGUGCUUGAGGCGGGAGGCUGUGUGCUCCUGGGAGCUGGCCAUGGUGCCAUCUUCUAGGGCCGUUUCUCAUGCCUCCUAGUUUCCAGUCCCUCCUGACUCCCCUCCUUCUGGGUCCUCCAUGGCACAAUGAUAUAUUUCAUAUUUCUAUGGAAGGUGUGUCAUGUCUCAGCCCCCACACUAGUGCACACACACACGCAUGCACACACACAC